CCACCCUAGGAAGAAGGCACAGCACCGUGCACAACGGGGGGGGGCACAAUUACACCAGGGCGCCGAGCUCAAACCCCCACAGCGUUUAACAGGGCAGAGCAAACAUGAUGUACCCAGCCCCCCCUUCUCUGCGGGGCCUGCAUAACACUGCACCACCCUGAGACCAGGCUGAGGGUGAUGCUAAACAUCGGGAUAGCCCCAGCACCAUAGCACAGGACAGCAUGGAGAGGGACCCCAAGUAGCUACAUGCCCUGGUGCAGGGCAGCCUAGACCCUGACCUGUGUAACUGGGGACAUUACUCUCCGGCUCAGCCGAAUCUCACACACACCACAUUGGACCUGUGCCACUUGGUCAGACAGCUGAGAAGAAACCGCUCACAAUUACUGAUGGAAGGAUAGAGGCGCAGGAGGAAUAGAUCAAGAUUGAGGUUAACAUUGGCUCCUACAUCUGCGUGGAUAAGGAACUGGAAUAAAAAUCCAGAACUGCUGUGUUCAGUCAAUACCCCAGCUAAUUUUCCAUGAAACUUGUAGAGUAAUGCAUCUCUUUGAUUUUACUGCUGGACAGAUCUCUACUUCGGAAAUUGUACAUCUGGAAUUUUAUCAGCUAUCGAUCUGUCCCUGUAGCCUAUGUUCUGCACAAGGUACAGAAGUAAUUUGCAGUCAUCUAAGAGAGAGAGAGCGAGCAAGCGUGUGUGUCAGUGGUGGUCUUUGAGUCUUCUGUGGCAAGGAUAGCUCAGGCAGUGUUUACUUUGUACUGAAAGAGAUACCUGGGCUCAAGCAAUUAGGUGCCAGGGUUCAAGCAAUUUUUUUUUAUAUUCAUAACUGAUACAGCAAGUCCAGAGGUGUUAUGGCUAUGAACUGCCAAGCCUAAGCAGAGCUCAGGGUUCUGAUCUCCUUACCAACAGUUAAAGAAGCCAGGGAAGAUACUGCCCAUGCCACGUGUUUUAAAAGUGAACUUUGGGCAUAAGAUUCACCUGACUCAUUUGUAUCAAAGACAAGUUCACCACCCUCCUCCACCUGCAUGAGUGAGAAAAAGCGGAUAUAUCAGAGCAAGACAGGUGCUUUGUACCCUUAGCCUCCUGCUAACCCUGGAGAGAGCUUUCCUUUUCCAGAUCAAGGCUGUGGAGUAAUCUUGAAAGGGUGAAAUUCCUGGCCAUUUAAUACAGUUUAGCCAGUUUGUUCAGGUAGGUUCUUUGCUUAUCCUGAGAGUAGGACAUAUACAUUCAGUUUAGGUCUGGCUCCCACAAAGCAGUUUAGAUGUGUGGUGAGCAUGCUUGAUUGAUACAUUUUGACGUACUUCCAAUAGGGAGAAGAUUGGGGCUUGGGUAGGAUCAUCGCUUAAAGCCUUUUAUUAUGUUAAUGGCUUUGACAGACAUGUCCUAUGUGUAGAUUAUUUCAUGCACCAGCCUGAGGGCCAGUGUGCAUACACCUGGAGAUCUAUUCAGCAUAGAAGUGGGCUGUUUAUUUAUCCAGGUACCGUCUCUUGCAUGUUGUCUGCUAUCCCUUUGAAAAACUUCAUCCUUGUUUCUGGGAGUAUUUGCAUCUGAGGAGAGCAAGGGAGAUAUUAUGUGUACCUCAGUUUACUUGCUUGAUUUUAUUCCAUCUGCCUGCAUGGAGUUAAAUAAGAAAGGGCUGUUAGAAAGAGCAAGCAGGAAACAAAAUGAUGUCUAGAGAUAGUUUAUCUCCAGAGAAAAUACCAAGGGUCCUUAAGAGAAAAAUGAGUGGGCUAUUAAUUGGGAACUGUCCCCCCGCCUGGUUCCAGGCAGGGCAUAUUUUGCAGGGCUGGGACCUAAAAUCAAAAGGACAUUAAGUAGUUAAAAACCCCUGUCUAGAGAGGCAGGGAGGGGAGUGAGUUGGCAGCAGCUGCAGGUAGGGAGAUGAUGCAGGAGAGAGACAAACAAGGACAGCAGGAGGGCAGUCUGCCUCUCUCAGCCCACAGGUAGGGGUAUCUGGGUUAAGCAGAAGCUUCCUGAACUUGCAAGGAAAGGGUGAAGUUUAUAUCAGACCAGAUAUGCAGGCAAUUGUUUUAACCCUCUCCUUUGAUGGCUAUGUGCCUUUGGGUGAACACACACCACUUUUCUUUUUAGAACUGUUUUGUAUCACUUUAAUCAGCUACUGGCCACAUGUGUGCCGGAGGGAAGUUUCUCACCGGUGCCAAAUACAGUUAGGUCUGUCACGUUACCAGGGCUGGGAAACCAGAGAUCCAGUGUGAGAAUGGUUGAACCAUUGGGUUCCUCCUUGAAGGAAGGAAGCUAAGGGUGCACUGGAAAAGUGGUUGCAGAAGGGUCUAAAGCACAGUUCACCUUCUAAUCAUGACAGCAUCCCACUCAGUUUCCUUUGUGGGACUCUAAAAAUGGGUUUAGACUGCUGCAUGCUCCAAAGUACUCCAAAAUUAGCCUCCCCCAAAUUACCAGGAAAGUUUGCCUACUUAAGAGACACGCAGCACUUGUCUAUGGAAAAGUGAGCCUUUAACUUGGCAGUAGGUCUAUGCGUCACACAGAGUUCCAAUGUUGCUCGGCAGGAGGGCAGCUUAAAGUAACUAUCCCAGGAGAGAAGGACAAGAGUACACAGUGAAGGAAGCACGUGGGGCGAUAGGAAACAAGCUAUGCUCCAGGAUAUUUAGUUUGUUCUCACAAGAAGGGGGAGGGGAAAGGAAAGCAAUUGUUGCAGCAAAAAAAGGUGAGUAAUUUCUGCAUACACAAAUAUUCAGAAAAACAUUAAAAAUUUAUUUUAAAUAUUAUAAAAGGAAGUCCAUUCAACUUUUAAAAACACUAUGCAUUAUCUCUGAUUGACUCCAAUUUAUGUAAGCUACUACAUUAAAGUGCUAAACAUCCUUUACCGUCCCCAUAUAUUAGGAGUGUGUCCUAAUGUGCCCAGAAAUAAAUAUACACUGGUUUACGAGGCACUAUCCCAUCCAGUUUUGAAGUAAAUAAGUUAAAAUGCACACAGUACAAGGAGUGAAUCAACUAAGACCUUAUCACUGAUACCUUGGGGCUCCCAUCCUAAAAAAGCUAAAGCUAUUUGUUACUGUUAUUUUAAGGGCUAAUGUUUUAGUCUGUUGAAGUGAUUAGUUUCUGUGUCGUUUUGUAAGCCAAGUUCACAUUUGACUGCUUGCUAAUUGGGAUCAGAGCUUCCUUCCUAAUGCUGAAUGAGCAGUUUUAAGACCUGCAUGGCUCCCAGUGGC